UCCGUGUCUAACAAGCUAGCUCCCAAAUUUAUUGGCCCGUUUCCUGUCACCAAGAUUAUUAGUCCGGUGACAGUCCGCCUCAAACUUCCUCCUGCGUACAGGAGAAUUCAUCCCGCCUUUCAUGUCUCUAAAAUUAAACCCGUGUUUCGUUCUCACAUUAAUCCGCCUGCCCCGGUUCCCCCCCCCGCCGCGACUCGUAGAUGGGGAACCAACAUAUUCGGUAAAUCGUAUUCUGGACUCGAGACCGAGGGGACGCGGAUUUCAGUACCUGGUGGACUGGGAGGGCUACGGUCCGGAGGAGAGAAGUUGGGUACCUGCUAGAGACAUCCUGGAUCACUCCCUUAUUGAUGAUUACAAUCGACAGAUCGUUGUGGUUGUGUUUCGGUGUGUUCCUGUGCUCGUGCCUCGUCUGUGACUCUUCUGGAUUUCGUCAGUACUUCGUGUUUCCUGGAUUUCAUCAGUUCCUCGUGUCUUCUGGAUGUUCCACUUCCCUGGGUUUCACUCGAGCACGUCUUCACCUGUCUUCACCACCGGAUCGCCAUCUCGUCCCUGCUUCACCCACCACCUGAGUGUUGUCCCCGAUCUGUGUCUUACAUUUGUCAUUUCUGACCAACCAAUAAACUGAGUUUAUUUGCA